rnacentral:rRNA from 1 species
AUUGAACGCUGGCGGCAGGCCUAACACAUGCGAGUCGAGCGGAUGAAGGGAGCUUGCUCCUGGAUUCAGCGGCGGACGGGUGAGUAAUGCCUAGGAAUUCUGCCUGGUAGUGGGGGAUAACGUCCGGAAACGGGCGCUAAUACCGCAUACGUCCUGAGGGAGAAAGUGGGGGAUCUUCGGACCUCACGCUAUCAGAUGAGCCUAGGUCGGAUUAGCUAGUUGGUGGGGUAAAGGCCUACCAAGGCGACGAUCCGUAACUGGUCUGAGAGGAUGAUCAGUCACACUGGAACUGAGACACGGUCCAGACUCCUACGGGAGGCAGCAGUGGGGAAUAUUGGACAAUGGGCGAAAGCCUGAUCCAGCCAUGCCGCGUGUGUGAAGAAGGUCUUCGGAUUGUAAAGCACUUUAAGUUGGGAGGAAGGGCAGUAAGUUAAUACCUUGCUGUUUUGACGGUACCAACAGAAUAAGCACCGGCUAACUUCGUG